CACUAGUGAUUCAUGCAAGUCGAACGCAAACUUUGCAAAGAGUUUUAGUGGCGAACGGGUGAGUAACACGUAAGUAACCUGCCUUUAAGACGAGGAUAACAAAUGGAAACAUUUGCUAAGACUGGAUAGGAAACAAGAAGGCAUCUUUUUGUUUUUAAAAGACCUCCUAAAAAAAGGUAUGCUUAAAGAGGGGCUUGCGCCACAUUAGUUUGUUGGUAAGGUAAUGGCUUACCAAGACUAUGAUGUGUAGCUGGACUGAGAGGUUGAACAGCCACAUUGGGACUGAGACACGGCCCAAACUCCUACGGGAGGCAGCAGUAGGGAAUUUUCGGCAAUGGAGGAAACUCUGACCGAGCAAUGCCGCGUGAAACGAUGAAAGUAUUUCGGUAUGGUAAAGUUUUUUUAUUGAAGAAGAAAAAUAGUGGAAAAACUAUCUUGACGCUAUUCAAUGAAUAAGCCCCGGCUAACUAUGUGCCAGCAGCCGCGGUAAGACAUAGGGGGCGAGCGUUAUCCGGAAUUAUUGGGCGUAAAGGGUGCGUAGGCGGUUAGUUAAGUCUAUAAUUUAAUUUCAACGCUUAACGUUGUUUUGUUAUAGAAACUGCCUAACUAGAGUGAGAUAGAGGCAAGUGGAAUUCCAUGUGUAGCGGUAAAAUGUGUAAAUAUAUGGAGGAACACCAGAAGCGUAGGCGGCUUGCUGGGUCUUUACUGACGCUGAGGCACGAAAGCGUGGGUAGCAGACAGGAUUAGAUACCCUGGUAGUCCACGCCGUAAACGAUGAGUACUAAGUGUCAGGGUACAACUUGGUACUGAAGUUAACACAUUAAGUACUCCGCCUGAGUAGUACGUACGCAAGUAUGAAACUUAAAGGAAUUGACGGGACUCCGCACAAGCGGUGGAUCAUGUUGUUUAAUUCGAAGAUACACGAAAAACCUUACCAGGUCUUGACAUACUCUGCAAAGUUAUAGAAAUAUAAUGGAGGUUAUCAGGGAUACAGGUGGUGCAUGGUUGUCGUCAGCUCGUGUCGUGAGAUGUUAGGUUAAGUCCUAAAACGAGCGCAACCCUUGUCGUUAGUUACCAGCACGUAAAGGUGGGGACUUUAGCGAGACUGCCAAUUAAAAAUUGGAGGAAGGUGAGGAUUACGUCAAAUCAUCAUGCCCCUUAUGAUCUGGGCUACAAACGUGAUACAAUGGCUGUUACAAAGAGUAGCUGAAACGUGAGUUUUUAGCCAAUCUCAAAAAAGCAGUCUCAGUUCGGAUUGAAGUCUGCAACUCGACUUCAUGAAGUUGGAAUCGCUAGUAAUCGCGAAUCAGCAUGUCUCGGUGAAUACGUUCUCGGGGUUUGUACACGCGCCCGUCAAGCCAUGAAAGUGGACAAUACCCAAAAGCAGUGGCUUAAUUUCGUAAGAAAAGGGAUCUGUCUAAGGUAGGGUCGAUGAUUGGGGUCAAGAAUCG
rnacentral:rRNA from 1 species